rnacentral:lncRNA from 1 species
UAUACUAGUCAACAAAAGAAACGAUACAAGACUUUUUUUUCAAAUUAAAGAUAAAGUUUUCCGUUCAUUGGACCAAUAUUGAAGGAAGUAAUACUUAAUCAUUAUGGAAAUAUAAAUCCGUUUAAAAAAAUUUUUUUUUUUGCUUUUGUGACGUUUUUUCGCGAUUUUUUUUUUUUACAAAAUUUACAUAAAACGACAAUUUUAAAAACAGAAGUUCCAACUAAUGAUGCCAACCUCUCAUUUAAAGGUAAAGACAGUGUUUGCCAUCAAUUUGUUUUUAAAAAUCAUACAGUUUCUUCGUUUAUUAGUUAAGCAAAGUUCGGCCCCACGAGAAAUCGUUAAAAUGUAUACAUUAUCAACUGAUUUACCAUAGACAGUAUGUGUAAAGUGAUAUUCAAAAAGCGGUAACAAUCUUAAAACUAAUCCUAAAGGUUCCAAAUUUACUGUGUAUUGUUUUCA